AUAAAACAUAGUAUCUAUAUCCCAGUAAAUUAUAUUACAUACAUGCCAGUUUGGUUCCCUAAAGCAAAAAAAUAUUUCAUGUUGGAAACGGGGAAUAUUUCUCACACCCAAUGAUAACUUCACUUCUAACCAUUUAAUAAAUGCAUUUGCUUCAGUUAGAUUGUCAACUGGAGAUUACACAAAUGAACCAGUUCAGGUUUGUCAAGUGAUCACCCAUUACCAAUGAUGCAUUUAUUACUCUAAAAGUUUCAUCAAUAUUAUGAGCAUUUAUUUAUUUAUAUUAUUAUUAUUUUUAAUCAUUCCUUUAGCUAGAGUGUGUUGGAGAAAGAACAUCUGAUUGGUUCAAUGGGACAGUAUCAGUGGAUCAGACUGUUGGGAACAAAACCAGCUUUGUAAUAAUCUAUGAACUAAGCUUUCCUAGCGUUUACAUACAGUCACCAAGUGGCUUAAUCUACACUCAGACAAAUACGAGUUGUGAUGUAUCGCUGAAUACUGUCACUUUGUAUGUUCCAGGAGCUGCAGAGGUGAGACAACCUUUAUAACCUAGUUAUUUGUUUAGUUUUUAUCUUAAACCAUAAACAUACAAGCAUACACAAUAUCUGGGUCAAGAAUUAUAGAUCAACAUUAUCGAAAUAUGUUCAACAACAACUUCAGAUUAAGAAGAGGUUUAUCACAGAUGAUUCAGCCUGGUGACUAGAAGUACAGUAUCCAAACUAAAAUACUUCAGGCUUUGACUCUAACAGUAACGAGUCAAGCAGCACAAGCUGAUGUUCCUCCUAUCAUUGUCAAAACCCACAUGAACCAGCAGUUCAGUGAUGGCACUAAACCCAUGAUAGUGUUUGCUGAGGUUAGUCAGAAUUACAGGCCUGUCAUAAAUGCUGAAGUGUGGGCUACACUGGAGUCAGAAACUAGGUCUCCACAAACAUUACAACUCCUGGACAGUGGAGCAGGUAAAUGUCCUAUAAUUCAUAUUCCAGGUGUGCACUUAACUUGUAGGGAACUUGAAGGUGUUUUCCAAACUCUGCCAAAUAGAUCAGAGAUCCAUCUUUUACAGGAGCUGAUUCUUUUCAAGAUGAUGGAAUCUAUUCCAGAAUAUUUACAUACACAUUUACAUACACUUACAUUUACAUACAUACAUAUCAAAUAAUACUGUUUGGUCCGAGUGAUUUUUAUGACUUUGGCAAUCUGGACCUUGGCGAUUUAAGUUCUUAUGUUAAUCCAUGUGUGAAAAAUGUAGGUGUGUUUUUUGAUUCAGGUCCCAAGUUCGACAAACAAAUUAAUUCUGUUGUCAAAUUAAGGAUUUUUUUUUUUUUCCAUCUACGACGUCUUGCUAGAGUUAAAGCUUUUCUCUCUCCAAAGAAUGUUGAAAUAUUUAUUCAUGCAUUCAUUACUUUAUGCCUUGACUACUUUAAUUCACUCUAUCAUGGAGCAAACCAAGCAUCUAUUGGGCGUCUUCAAAUGGUUCAAAAUGCUGCAGCCAGGCUGCUGACUGGUAGUCGAAGAUACGAUCACAUUACUCCUAUUUUAACUACUUUGCACUGGCUACCAGUCAAACUGAGAAUAGAAUUUAAAAUUUUAGUUUUUGUUUUUAAAGCACUAUGCGACCUAGCCCCAAAGUACUUAUCAGACAUUCUACGCUGACACAACCCAUCCAGGUCACUUAGAUCCGGCAGCCUUGGGUUACUUUUUGUUUGUAGAUCAAGGCUAAAACAUUGUGGAGAUCGAGCCUUUGCGACAGCGGGCCCUAAACUCGGGAAUAGCCUACUGGUAUCUAUCCGAACGGUGCCAUCACUCUCCUCUUUUAAAUCAAAACUUAAAGGUGCUGUAUGUAGGAUUGACACCGAGUGGUUGAACUAGGUAUUGCAAUUCAAAUUCAAAAUAUUGGAGAGGGUUUUUUUUUCACCUGGCCCCUCCUCCUCAGACUUGACGCACAUGCAGGUUGCCAGAUUGACGACACCAACAAGAACAAGCGCACUUGACGAUGAAUGAAAUGAACUACGCUGUGUUUUCCGUCAUCUGCCAACCCUGGGUGCCGAAAUACAAUUGGUUAAACUGGCAGUGGGCGGGUUUCACAAACCAAAACAGAGGCCGACAUUCCGGCCCGGAACGCACAUUUUCCAAGGAGAAUUACUGACUGUAGCAUUGUUUUUCAGAUAAACAAGCAUGUUUCUUAAAUAUCUGCAAACAUAUUAUGGUAUUUGUAUGCUUUAGUAGAGUCAAAAACUAAUUUUCUUAGUGUGGGUUCCUAAUGUAUAUUCUUAUUUAUUGUAUAGUUUUAUGUUUGUUGCUUUAUAGAUUGUAAUUUUUCAUUUUUUAUUUGUUGUUUCUUGAUCUGUACAGCACUUUGGUCUACCUUUGGUUGUCUUUUAAAUGUGCUCUAAAAAUAAUGAAUGAAUUAAUUAAUUAAUGAAUGAACUAGUCUUCAGUGUCCAAAUACCAGCAAAUGUAUCUGAGUAAAUCAUGAUAUUCAGUGCCA
ensembl:lncRNA